rnacentral:rRNA from 1 species
AGUGAACGCUGGCGGUAGGCCUAACACAUGCAAGUCGAACGGCAGCACAGGAGAGCUUGCUCUCUGGGUGGCGAGUGGCGGACGGGUGAGGAAUACAUCAGAAUCUACUCUGUCGUGGGGGAUAACGUAGGGAAACUUACGCUAAUACCGCAUACGACCUACGGGUGAAAGCAGGGGAUCUUCGGACCUUGCGCGAUUGAAUGAGCCGAUGUCGGAUUAGCUAGUUGGCGGGGUAAAGGCCCACCAAGGCGACGAUCCGUAGCUGGUCUGAGAGGAUGAUCAGCCACAAUGGAACUGAGACACGGUCCAGACUCCUACGGGAGGCAGCAAUGGGGAAUAUGGGACAAUGGGCGCGAGCCUGAUCCAGCCAUACGGCGUGGGUGAAGAAGGCCUUCGGGUUGUAAAGCCCUUUUGUUGGGAAAGAAAUCCAGCUGGCUAAUACCCGGCUGGGAUGACGGUACCCAAAGAAUGAGCACCGGCUAACUUCGUGCCAGCCGCCGCCGUAA